UAAGGAAUAUUGGUCAAUGGACGCAAGUCUGAACCAGCCAUGCCGCGUGCAGGAUGACGGCCCUAUGGGUUGUAAACUGCUUUUGUACGGGAAAAAACCUUCGGACGUGUCCGGAGCUGAUGGUACCGUAAGAAUAAGGAUCGGCUAACUCCGUGCCAGCAGCCGCGGUAAUACGGAGGAUCCAAGCGUUAUCCGGAUUCAUUGGGUUUAAAGGGUGCGCAGGCGGGUGAAUAAGUCAGAGGUGAAAUCCUACAGCUCAACUGUAGAACUGCCUUUGAUACUGUUCGCCUAGAGUAUAGUUGAAGUGGGCGGAAUGUAGCAUGUAGCGGUGAAAUGCUUAGAUAUGCUACAGAACACCGAUCGCGAAGGCAGCUCACUAAGCUGAAACUGACGCUCAUGC
rnacentral:rRNA from 1 species